CAUCGACAGGCGAUAAGAUGUCUGCAGGGUCAGGAUUUCCAUCGAGCUUGAAGUACUUUGCUCCUAUAAGCUUGCUUCAGGUCAUAACAACACAGGAACAACAAAUGAUUAAUGCUCAUACUACGUAAACCUUAAAGACAGAGAUACGACAAGAAUUUACUUGUUGCAGCCUGAAAAAUUGGCGAAGGGGCCACAACUUCCUUUCCAUUUAGCUGGUGGAGGACCAAGACCAUCAUCCUUAAAGCUCUCAGAUUGUGGGGUGAUUCCUGGUACAUGGUAACUGUAAGGAUUGCUAGAAGUACAACCAAAGACAGCCUACAGUACUUAUCAUGGCAAUAUUAACUAUUGACAGUUGAGCAAUACUAUAAACUGUUUGUGGGGUUGAAGCGUUGCAAGCAUUUUCACACAACUUUGUAACACCGUAUCGUGCAUCCAUUGUCCGAGGAACGUUAGAAGAGCUAGAGCAGAGAAUAUCGACACUAAAAGAACAGUUGAAGGU